AGUGAACGCUGGCGGUAGGCCUAACACAUGCAAGUCGAACGGCAGCACAGUAAGAGCUUGCUCUUACGGGUGGCGAGUGGCGGACGGGUGAGGCAUACAUCGGAAUCUACUUUUUCGUGGGGGAUAACGUAGGGAAACUUACGCUAAUACCGCAUACGACCUACGGGUGAAAGCAGGGGAUCUUCGGACCUUGCGCGAUUGAAUGAGCCGAUGUCGGAUUAGCUAGUUGGCGGGGUAAAGGCCCACCAAGGCGACGAUCCGUAGCUGGUCUGAGAGGAUGAUCAGCCACACUGGAACUGAGACACGGUCCAGACUCCUACGGGAGGCAGCAGUGGGGAAUAUUGGACAAUGGGCGCAAGCCUGAUCCAGCCAUACUGCGUGGGUGAAGAAGGCCUUCGGGUUGUAAAGCCCUUUUGUUGGGAAAGAAAAGCAGCAGGUUAAUACCCCGCUGUUCUGACGGUACCCAAAGAAUAAGCACCGGCUGACUUCGUG
rnacentral:rRNA from 1 species